UGGGGAAUUUUGGACAAUGGGCGCAAGCCUGAUCCAGCAAUGCCGCGUGCAGGAUGAAGGCCUUCGGGUUGUAAACUGCUUUUGUACGGAGCGAAAAGGUCUGCCCUAAUACGGUGGGCUCAUGACGGUACCGUAAGAAUAAGCACCGGCUAACUACGUGCCAGCAGCCGCGGUAAUACGUAGGGUGCGAGCGUUAAUCGGUAUUACUGGGCGUAAAGCGUGCGCAGGCGGUUUUGUAAGACAGAGGUGAAAUCCCCGGGCUCAACCUGGGAAUUGCCUUUGUGACUGCAAGGCUUGAGUGCGGCAGAGGGGGAUGGAAUUCCGCGUGUAGCAGUGAAAUGCGUAGAUAUGCGGAGGAACACCGAUGGCGAAGGCAAUCCCCUGGACCUGUACUGACGCUCAUGCACGAAAGCGUGGGGAGCAAACA
rnacentral:rRNA from 1 species